UGCGAGGUCGAGCGGUAACAGAGAUAGCUUGCUAUCUGCUGACGAGCGGCGGACGGGUGAGUAAUGCUUGGGAAUAUGCCUUAUGGUGGGGGACAACAGUUGGAAACGACUGCUAAUACCGCAUAACGUCUACGGACCAAAGGGGGGGAUCUUCGGACCUCUCGCCAUUUGAUUAGCCCAAGUGAGAUUAGCUAGUUGGUGAGGUAAUGGCUCACCAAGGCGACGAUCUCUAGCUGGUUUGAGAGGAUGAUCAGCCACACUGGGACUGAGACACGGCCCAGACUCCUACGGGAGGCAGCAGUGGGGAAUAUUGCACAAUGGGCGAAAGCCUGAUGCAGCCAUGCCGCGUGUGUGAAGAAGGCCUUCGGGUUGUAAAGCACUUUCAGUUGUGAGGAAAGGGGUGUAGUUAAUAGCUGCAUUCUGUGACGUUAACAACAGAAGAAGCACCGGCUAACUUCGUGCCAGCAGCCGCGGUAAUACGAGGGGUGCAAGCGUUAAUCGGAAUUACUGGGCGUAAAGCGUUCGUAGGCGGUCUAUUAAGCAAGAUGUGAAAGCCCAGGGCUCAACCUUGGAACUGCAUUUUGAACUGGUAGACUAGAGUACUGUAGAGGGUGGUGGAAUUUCCAGUGUAGCGGUGAAAUGCGUAGAGAUUGGAAGGAACAUCAGUGGCGAAACGGCCACCUGGACAGAUACUGACGCUGAGGAAC
rnacentral:rRNA from 1 species